rnacentral:rRNA from 1 species
AGAGUUUGAUCCUGGCUCAGGAUGAACGCUGGCGGCGUGAUCCCAAUAUGCAAGUCGAACGAUGAUCCCAGCUUGCUGGGGGAUUAGUGGCGAACGGGUGAGUAACACGUGAGUAACCUGCCCUUGACUCUGGGAUAAGCCUGGGAAACUGGGUCUAAUACCGGAUAUGACUCCUCAUCGCAUGGUGGGGGGUGGAAAGCUUUUGUGGUUUUGGAUGGACUCGCGGCCUAUCAGCUUGUUGGUGGGGUAAUGGCCUACCAAGGCGACGACGGGUAGCCGGCCUGAGAGGGUGACCGGCCACACUGGGACUGAGACACGGCCCAGACUCCUACGGGAGGCAGCAGUGGGGAAUAUUGCACAAUGGGCGCAAGCCUGAUGCAGCGACGCCGCGUGAGGGAUGACGGCCUUCGGGUUGUAAACCUCUUUCAGUAGGGAAGAAGCGUAAGUGACGGUACCUGCAGAAGAAGCGCCGGCUAACUACGUGCCAGCAGCCGCGGUAAUACGUAGGGCGCAAGCGUUAUCCGGAAUUAUUGGGCGUAAAGAGCUCGUAGGCGGUUUGUCGCGUCUGCUGUGAAAGACCGGGGCUCAACUCCGGUUCUGCAGUGGGUACGGGCAGACUAGAGUGCAGUAGGGGAGACUGGAAUUCCUGGUGUAGCGGUGAAAUGCGCAGAUAUCAGGAGGAACACCGAUGGCGAAGGCAGGUCUCUGGGCUGUAACUGACGCUGAGGAGCG